rnacentral:misc_RNA from 1 species
AAAGUCGUAACAAGGUUUCCGUAGGUGAACCUGCGGAAGGAUCAUUACCGAGAACCGGCGCCCUCGCGGCCCGACCCUCAAACCACUGCGUACCUAUCUCCAAACGUUGCCUCGGCGGGCAGGGGCUCGCCCCUCCCGCCGCCGGGCCCAAACAUAACCGUUUUCGUGUGACGAACGUCUGAUAUUCUUCUUCGCGAAUGCGAUAAAGUACAACUUUCAACAAUGGAUCUCUUGGCUCCG